AAGUCGUAACAAGGUUUCCGUAGCCCCCGUGAACCUUCAUCCUGCUCUUGUAACCCGCGUAGUUCGCAAUCUCUGAUAAAUCAUAGCCCGGAAAGUUGUAGUGAUUCAGAGACCUCUGGCUACGUGCGAACAUUGGACCAGUUACAAUCGAGCGGUAGUUCUAUAGGCAAUGUUUCCCCAAGCCGUCAGUGUCGGAAAGUGUCAUUGAUUGUGCAAGGAUAGCGCUUCUACGAUUUCUGUAGACCGUACACUCGGGCAGGAGCUUUGCCCCUAAUAACCCCACAGUUUAAUGUGAAGCUCAAUGUAAUACAUUGGGUAAAAAAACCGAACGACUGUUAACAAUGGAUAUCUUGGUUCUC
rnacentral:misc_RNA from 1 species